AUUGAACGCUGGCGGCAUGCCUUACACAUGCAAGUCGAACGGCAGCACGGGGCAACCUGGUGGCGAGUGGCGAACGGGUGAGUAAUGCAUCGGAACGUACCUUCCAGUGGGGGAUAACGUAGCGAAAGUUACGCUAAUACCGCAUAUUCUGUGAGCAGGAAAGCAGGGGAUCGCAAGACCUUGCGCUGAUUGAGCGGCCGAUGUCAGAUUAGCUAGUUGGUGAGGUAAAGGCUCACCAAGGCGACGAUCUGUAGCGGGUCUGAGAGGAUGAUCCGCCACACUGGAACUGAGACACGGUCCAGACUCCUACGGGAGGCAGCAGUGGGGAAUUUUGGACAAUGGGGGCAACCCUGAUCCAGCCAUGCCGCGUGAGUGAAGAAGGCCUUCGGGUUGUAAAGCUCUUUCGGCCGGGAAAAAAUCGCAUGGGUUAAUACCCUGUGUGGAUGAUGGUACCGGAAUAAGAAGCACCGGCUAACUACGUGCCAGCCGCCGCGGUAACAC
rnacentral:rRNA from 1 species